rnacentral:rRNA from 1 species
UACAGAGGUCUCAAGCGUUGUUCGGAUUCAUUGGGCGUAAAGGGUGCGUAGGUGGCGCUGUAAGUCGGGUGUGAAAUCUCGGGGCUUAACUCCGAAACUGCAUUCGAUACUGCCGUGCUUGAGGACUGGAGAGGAGACUGGAAUUUACGGUGUAGCGGUGAAAUGCGUAGAUAUCGUAAGGAAGACCAGUGGCGAAGGCGGGUCUCUGGACAGUUCCUGACGCUGAGGCACGAAGGUCAGGGAGCAACGG